rnacentral:rRNA from 1 species
AUUGAACGCUGGCGGCAGGCUUAACACAUGCAAGUCGAGCGGGGGAAGGUAGCUUGCUACUGGACCUAGCGGCGGACGGGUGAGUAAUGCUUAGGAAUCUGCCUAUUAGUGGGGGACAACAUCUCGAAAGGGAUGCUAAUACCGCAUACGUCCUACGGGAGAAAGCAGGGGAUCUUCGGACCUUGCACUAAUAGAUGAGCCUAAGUCGGAUUAGCUAGUUGGUGGGGUAAAGGCCUACCAAGGCGACGAUCUGUAGCGGGCCUGAGAGGAUGAUCCGCCACACUGGGACUGAGACACGGCCCAGACUCCUACGGGAGGCAGCAGUGGGGAAUAUUGGACAAUGGGGGGAACCCUGAUCCAGCCAUGCCGCGUGUGUGAAGAAGGCCUUAUGGUUGUAAAGCACUUUAAGCGAGGAGGAGGCUCUUUUGGUUAAUACCCAAGAUGAGUGGACGUUACUCGCAGAAUAAGCACCGGCUAACUCUGUGCCAGCCGCCGCGGUAA